GCCAGGCAUGGUAGUGCAUGCCUGUAGUCCCAGCUACUCAGGAGACUGAGGUGGGAGGAUCACUUGAGCCCGGGAGGUCGAGGCUGCAGUGAGCUAUGAUUGCGCCGCUGCACUCCAGCCUGAGUGACAGAGUGAGAUCCUGUCUCUC
ensembl:misc_RNA Metazoa_SRP Metazoan signal recognition particle RNA